GAUCCUGGCUCAGGAUGAACGCUAGCUACAGGCUUAACACAUGCAAGUCGAGGGGCAGCAUGGACCCAGCUUUGCUGGGUUUGAUGGCGACCGGCGCACGGGUGAGUAACGCGUAUCCAACCUGCCCUUUACUCCGGGAUAGUCUCCUGAAAGGGAGUUUAAUACCGGAUGUGUUUGUCUUUCCGCAUGGGAGCGACAAAUAAAGAUAAUUGUAAGGAAUGGGGAGUGCGUCCCAUUAGCUUGUUGCGGGG
rnacentral:rRNA from 1 species